CAACAUGACCGCUUCUCAUUCGAUAGAACUGACAACGGUUUCUCUCUGAUUAAUAAUGUCUUUCUGUUUUGCUGCAGCCAUAUCAAACUCAUUCGGGUUCGGUGGACACAACUCAGUCGUCGCCUUCUCUGCCUUCAAACCCUGAUUUCUUCAUACCUUUUAGAUUCUCUACCCCAUCCGUUACAUCAUCCAUCACCACCACUUGCAGCUUCUUGGUUUCACAAGUUCGAGCUCUUCCUCUGGCCUUUUGCGGUUCUUAUUUUUCCAUUCCCCGUUUUGUUACUGUUGCUGAGAUUUCAGAUUUUGUUUGUU
rnacentral:lncRNA from 1 species